rnacentral:lncRNA from 1 species
GGGUUUUGCUUUACUGCCCAGGCUGACCCAGAAUUCCUGGGCUGGAGUGAUCUUCCUGCCUUGGCCUCUAGAGUAGCUGGGACUGCCGAUGGGAUUCCACAGUGCCACACUGUCAGGCUUUCUGAUGUUUGAAUCACAUUAGUGUAGGCUUCUCUCACUGUUGAACCUUUUUUUGUUUUUUUCUGAACUUUUUACUAACCGAAUUACUAAUUCCAAAUUCUCAGGAACAAACAGAUUUGCUUAAAAAUUAACAUCCCUCCCUAUCAGAAUAUUUUGUACCUAGUACUCAAACAAACAAGGCUUUAUAACACGAAACAGAUGUUACUAAGACCGAAAGUCUCCCCUUGCCGGGGAGUGUGUGGCUCUGUACAAUCCUGACCUCCUGCCAGGCCCUACCUCCUGGGCCUGUCCCGCCUCAUCUCCCUUUUCUGGAACCGAAGCCCCAAGGACGGCGGGCCUUUGCUCUCCCCAUCCACACGGGCUGGUGGCCACAGCCGCUGGAGACAGCGGCACCUGACAGCCUCCUUCCCGGGGGGCACUCAGCGCGGGUGGAUGACCCCUUGCUGGGUCUCCCUCUGAGCAGGACGGGGGACAGAAGUGGUCCCAGGAGAUCGCGCAGGGGCUGCUCCCAGCCCUGGCCUCGGCCUCAACCCCCACCCCUGUGGUCCUCUAAGAACCUUCCCCGCGGUCCCCGCCCCGUCCCGUCCCACCCUCUGCUCUGCAAGUGCUGGGUGCUGCCCCGCCCGCUCCAACCUCCUUCUCCCCGGCGCUGGUCGGGUCGGUCUGGAGGGCCAGGUCUGACCGUGAGGCGUUGGCGUUGGCCGGACUGGCUGCGCCGGACGUGGGGCCGCCUCCAUCCAGUCAAGGCGGAGCCGGCAGCCAGCGGCCAGGGGCUGGAGGCCCAGGCGCUUCCAGCCAUGGGCAGGGGCUCGCUGAGAGCUCCGGGAUUGGCGGUGCCGCGGUGGCUGCUGUCACUACUGCUGCUGUCUCGGGGGCCAGUGUCUGGCGCUUGGUUGCUUCCAGGAAAUACUUCUGGAGAGCCAGUCACCACCCCCUGGGUCCUGGAUGGACAACCCUGGCUCACCAUCGUCCUGAAAGAGCCGAUCUCGACACUAGACUCAGGCCUGGUGGCCUUGGAAGCUGAAGGCCAGGAGUUCCUGCUUGAGCUGGAGAAGAACCACAGGCUGCUGGCUGCUGGUUACACAGAAACCCACUAUAGCCAAGAUGGCCAGCCAGUGGUGCUGGUCCCCAACCACAUGGGCGAGACACUUCUGUGGGCUCUGAGGACAGGGUGAGGGUGCUGGGGAUGGCACCUGGGAUAGCUCCUCACGAUCCCUACCCCAACCCUCCAACUCCGUUCCUAGGGGAAGUUGGAGCCACCCCUCCCCUCCCCUUCCUGCUCCCGUUCCCUCUUGGCUUCUGCCCUGGCUGAGGUUUGGGCUCAGGUUCCUUCCUCUCCAGGACCACUGUCACUACCACGGAGAGUGAGGGGCUUCCCCAACUCUUCGGUUAUGCUCAGCACCUGCUCUGGGAUGAGGGGCUUGAUCAGGCUCAACAGCAAUGCCAGCUAUUACCUGCAGCCCCUGGCCACCUGGAGACCCAGAGGACCUCUCAACCCACAGGACUUUCCGGAUGGAGAGGCUGCUCACCUGGAAAGGGACCUGCCAGCUACAGUGACCCCCGAGGACAAAGGGGGCAUGGCCAGGCUUCGUCCUGCCCCUCAGAGCAGGGAGAGGCGAGAAGCCCCCAGGGGCCAGAGGUACCUGGAGCUAUACGUAGUAGCCGACCACCCCCUGUACUUGACCCAGCACCGGAACUUGAACCAUACCAAAGAGCGCGUCUCCUGGAGGUUGCCAGUUAUGCAGACCAGAUCCUCAGGACGCUGGACAUCCAGGUGGUGCUGACAGGCCUGGAAGUGUGGACAGAGCAAGACCACAGCCGCGUCACACCCACGCCUGGCAACGCCACGCUCUGGGACUUCCUGAAGUGGCGCGGGGGCUGUGGGCACGGCUGGCCGCACGACUCGCGCGCAGCUACUCACGGGCUGCACCUUCCGGGGCGCCACUGUGGGCCUGGCGCCCGUCGAGGGCAUGUGUCGCGCAGAGAGGCUCGGGCGGUGUGAGCACGGACCACUCGGAGCUCCCCACCGGCGCUGCGGCCACCAUGGCCCAUGAGAUCGCCACAGCCUGGGCCUCAGCCACGACCUCGAUGGCUGCUGCGUGGAGGUCGCGGCAGAGCAAGGCGGCUGCAUCAUGGCCGCCGCCACGGGUACUCGCGGGCUAGGGCGGGGCCUAGGCUUAUUCCUCUGCGUGCUGCUUCACGUUAUCCCUCAGUUUCUCUUUUGUAAAAUGGUGGUGGUGACAACCACUUGUCCUCAUGGUUGUUUAUGAGGCCUCAGUGGAAGAAACGCAGGUAAAGUGGAUUCUCACGAGUAUGAAGAUUUUGAGAAAAACCUAGCAAGGUUGCUCCAACGCCGGAGCAAACGGCACGCGUAGGGCUGCGGUGUGGCUAACGCCAGGCCUGAGAAUCCAGGCUGAGUGCGGGCUGGGGUGUCCUGCGCUCCCGACGCCUCCCCCCCGCCCCUAGGCACCCGUUCCCGCGCCUCUUCAGCGCCUGCAGCCGCCGCCAACUGCGGGCCUUCUUCCGCAAGGGGGGCGGCGCGUGCCUCUACAACGCCCCAGACCCCGGGCUUCAGAUCCCGCCCACGCGCUGCGGGAACGGCUUCGUGGAAGCGGGCGAGGAGUGCGACUGCGGCUCUGAGCAGGUCAGGUCCGCCUGCCCGACCUCUGGGGACCGAGCCUGGCCCUCCUCCAGCGGUCAGGGGCGCGGUGCCCGCAUCUGUUCCAGUUUCACUUUUCUGGCCCCAGAAGUGCCCAGACCCCUGUUGCUUCGCCCACAACUGCUCGUUACAUGCGGGGGCCCAGUGUGCCCACGGGGACUGCUGCGCGCGCUGCCUGGUGAGGGCGGGUUGGUCCUGGUUGGUUGGCGCCCCCUGGUCCUCUAUGAGCGGGUCGCCUGGCCCUCGCGCCGGCUCCCCAUCUCUGAACAAGCUUGGCUCAGAUCUGUCACUGUCCAUUGACUCAACCGGGCCCCUGCGCAGCUGAAGCCAGCUGGCUCGCCGUGCCGCCAGGCUGCAGGAGACUGUGACCUCCCUGAGUUCUGCACUGGCUCUUCCCCCACUGUCCCCCGGAUGUUUACCUGCUGGACGGCUUGCCCUGCGCGGGAGGCCAAGGCUACUGCCUGGAUGGCGCGUGUCCCACGCUGGAGCAGCAGUGCGCACAGCUCUGGGGGCCUGGUGAGAGCGUGCCCUAGCAUCUGGCCCCUCCUCGGGUCUGCCCUUUCCUCCCGUAGGCAGGAUCUGCUGAGGAACUGAGGCUCUCAGAGCGUGGACCGGGCUGGGGCUUCGGCUGCGCUGCCCCAGUGCCCCUCUUUGAUCUUCAGGCUCCCGCCCAGCCCCCGAGGCCUGUUUCCAGCUGGUGAACCCCGCGGGAGACGCCACUGGGAAUUGCGGCCAGGAUGGCUCUGGCCGCUUCCUGCCUUGUGCUCAGAGGGACACUCAGUGCGGGAAGCUGCAGUGCCAGGGCGGGGAGCCCAGCCCCCUAGUGCCACACAUCUUGCCUGUGGAGUCCACACUUCACUUAGACGGCCACCAGGUGGCUUGUCGUGCAGCUCUGGUGAUCCCCGAUGCCCAGCUGGACUUGCUGGACUUGGGCCUGGUAGAGCCCGGCACCCAGUGUGGUCCUAGAAUGGUGUGCCAGGACAGGCGCUGCCAGAACACUUCCUCCCAGGAGCUGGAGCGCUGCCUAACUACCUGCCACAACCAUGGGGUUUGCAAUAGCAACCAUAACUGCCACUGCUCUCCAGGCUGGGCUCCACCCUUCUGUGACAAGCCGGGUUCGGUGGCAGUGUGGACAGUGGCCCAGUGCACCCUGAAAAUGGCGACACGUUCCUUCUGGCAGUGCUCUUCAGCUUCCCUGCUCCCUCUGCUCCCCUGGGGUGGGCCUGGCCUGGUGCUACUCCGGCUCCUGGGCUCCACCUCCAGCGAUGCCCCGGGGCUAUAGGAGAGACCAGGAAUGCAGUGGGUAGGCUCUGAGCACUCAGACUGGGGAGGGGGGUGAGCCCUCCAAGCUCUUUGGGACUUGGGAAGCUGGCUGGGUCCUCAGCCUCACUCCCAGGUUCAGAAGGACCCUGGAGGCAGCAGAGCCCAGGAUGUGGGUCCCUGCCUCUAUUUGCAUCUGGCCUUGCCCUCCACUUCCCUUCCUGCCAUCCCACCCCCUCCAGACUCCCAAUUCUCCCACCAGGUGGCUGCCUCACCCUUGUCUUGGCCAGGGUUUUUCUCUAGCUUCCAGUGCAGUCCGGGAACUCCCUGUGUCUCCUGAGGCCUCUCCAGCUGUCUCAUGAGUUUUGACCUCUCUGCCACUUCUGCCCAAAUCACUCUGUCACCCCUUCAAAUUCCCCAGUGUUCAGCCCAACACAUCUUUGCCUUCUGUACCAUUGGUCAGCUAUGGUGGUGGCUGCUUUUGUGCCACAGCCCUGAACCCUAUUCUUUGUGACCUGGGAGGAGGGCCACAAAAUACUAAGUCUGGUCAACUUAGGGCUGUCCCUUUGCUGGGACCUUAUGGCCAUGUCUGACAGCCUGGCCCUGGGAGGUGCGCUGGGCUAGCUGAAGGACAAGCAGGUUUGGGCUGGAGAUGGGGACAGAGGUCAUCAUAGACAGGGGCAUGACAUCAGGCAGGCCGCAGGUGCCCACUGACAGGGAUUUGGCCCAGUUUAGUAGUGAAUGGACAAGGUGUAUAGCAGGGGAGGGGGCAUUUCAGGGGCAGUGGCUGUAAUUUGUCAUCAAGGAAGUGACAAGACCCUGGGAGAAGGACUUAAGGGCACCAAAGAUAGGGUGGAGUUACUGUGGGCAGCAGGGUAACCAAGGCAAGGAGCACAGGUGGUAUGGCUCCUACUGGGCAGAAAGACAUCCAGCUCUCUAUGGGACCUAAGCAAUGCCAACAUCUAGAGGGUUCCAGGAAGCUGGGGUGGUGCCAGCGCAGGGAAGAAAUAGCAGGGCUGGAGGAAGGAGGUGCUGGCAGCCCUGGAGGCCAUGGAUCCCAAGGAAAGAAGCCUGGAUCCCAAGGGCUUUUCUCAAGAAGGGACAAGAAGAAGCCCGAGAGAGUAACUCAGAGCAGAAGGGCGGGACAGUCAAUGUAGACCUUGGGCUGGGUGCCAUGCCAUGGCAAAAUGGUCCCCAGUGCCCCACUCAGGGUCACUCUUCCAACCUCCUGGCCUUUUAUCCCACUGCUCAGGCCCAAAGAUGGCCCUCUCAGGAACCAUAGCCUGGGUGGCAUUUACCUUGCGCAGUUGGGGUCCGUGGCCAUUGGAGACCCCCAGCCCCUGGGUAAGUGAGGCACCAGGGGAUGUGCAGAGGGAAAGGAAAGGGCAGGAUGGGGUCUUGCCCUCUGCCUCUGUCCCAGUAGGCCUGCCCUCACCACUCAGUACCCAGCCACCUGGAGUCUCCUGUCCUCCACCCAGAUGCAGAGGCUCCUGCCGACUGUGUCAGCAUUCAUUCUCCACUGUUGCUCCCAGACCCUGAGAACUCUGCCCAAGUUCAGCAGUCACCCUGAGAAGCCUGUGCCCUGCUGCCCUUUUUGAUCUACAAGGUAGGGUCAACUCCAAUGCUGAGUCCUCUUCCUCCCAUUGCUCAGCCACUGAUGUCCGCAUCUCAGGCAUCUGGGUUUGGGUUAAAAUGGAAAUGAGACAUCACUUCUUGGAGACCAGGAUGCUAGAAGUCCCUUGGGGCAAGUAUGGGGGAAGUUGUGGUUUUUCCUGGGUCUUGGGUCAUUACUGAAGGGAACAAGGGGUCCCUGCCACAUGAUUUGCAACCUGGGGCCCCAGCCCUUUCUUCUGCAUUAGAAUCUCAGCAGGUCAAGUCUAGACACCAAGAUCCUAUCUGUGGGGGAAAGGUGGCUCCUGAGAUGAGUAGACAGGUGACCACUGACAGCCAUUCCAGGAACUUGGAUCCCAAGGACAGACACAGCGAGUCAACUGAUCUCCUGCACCUUCUGAAGCUUGGAGGUUUCUUCCUGCCUUGUCAAGGAGCUCCAGGACCCAAGCUUCAUCAGAAGUUGCUUGAUGUUGUCCCUGCUCUUGAGGGCUGGGGCAUGCUGGGUACAGCUUCCAGCCCAAGAAUCCAUCCACAAAGGAUUGAAGGUCCCAUAGUCCCCAACCCCCAGCAGGGGAGGCCUCUGUCCUGGGAGCCUGGCUAUGUCUGCUUUGUGCACUUUCCCUCCAUGCAGCUCUCUGGAGGGCAGGGACUCCUGAGACUCAACAUUUCUGAUGGAGCCCACAUUUCCUGGAGCCUGGCCCUUGCAAACAAGCAAGCAAACAAAAUCUUUGAUAUCUCCUUUCUGGUCUCCUCCUACCCGUCCUGUAUCCGGGAAGCUUCUGUAGCCCCUACCCUGACUCCCAGUUCUCCAUCUGAGGUUGUAGAGGGUGUGGCCUUUUGCAGCCCUCUUCACUUGGACUUUACUCAGUCCUCCAUUCUGUAGGAGAGGCCUGAGGAGUCAGGUCAGGAAAGACAGUGUAGAGUCAGAAGAAAGGCAGGCUUCCUGGUGCCUCUGUGAAUCUUUUCUGUUGUAAAUUCAACCCUUGGGGUGUCCUGAGGGGCCACUUGGAGUGAUGUGGUGGGUGGAACCUCCAGUGGUAGCCAGGACACCUGGAUUCAGGAGGGUGUUGCCCAGGUUGAAUUAUCCCUUUGCUUGUCCCUCCUGUCCCUUUGAACAUUCUUGUCUCCUGUUGCUCAUGCCAGAGUUGCUGAGUGAUCUGUAUUAGGCAGCUGUUGCUUUGUAACAAAACCACCUCCAAAACUGAGUUGCUUAAAACAACAGGCAGUACAAUCAUACUUCUGAGGGUGUGAAGAAUUGGAGAAUCUUUGCUGUCUACCAUUGGGAUCCAGAGAAGCGGCAGCCCCAGCUCAUCUAUAGAUUCGUCAUGGUUCCAAUAAACAUCCCAAGACAGUUUUGGUUUUUUGGUGGGGCGGGGGGCUUGACAAACUGCUCCAAAAAUGGACAUGGAACAGCAAAAAUCCAGGAAAAACCAAAAGAAAUUAAAUUAAGAAAAAAGGCCGGGGAUUUAGUUCAGUGGUUCCACCACCUGCCUCUCAAGUGCAAGGACCCAAGUUUGAUCCCAGUACCAAAAAAAUAAAAUAAAUUAAGAAUAAAAUAAGGAACA